rnacentral:sRNA from 1 species
GUCGUGAGAUGUUGGGUUAAGUCCCGCAACGAGCGCAACCCUUGUCCCUAGUUGCUACGCAAGGGCACUCUAGGGAGACUGCCGGUGACAAACCGGAGGAAGGUGGGGAUGACGUCAAGUCCUCAUGGCCCUUAUGGGUAGGGCUUCACACGUCAUACAAUGGACGGUACAGAGGGUCGCCAACCCGCGAGGGGGAGCCAAUCCCUAGAAAGCCGUUCGUAGUCCGGAUCGCAGUCUGCAACUCGACUGCGUGAAGUCGGAAUCGCUAGUAAUCGCGGAUCAGCAUGUCGCGGUGAAUACGUUCCCGGGUCUUGUACACACCGCCCGUCACACCAUGGGAGCGGGAUGUACCAGAAGUAGGUAGGCUAACCGCAAGGGGGCCGCUUACCACGGUGCGUUUCGUGACUGGGGUGAAGUCGUAACAAGGUAGCCGUAUCGGAAGGUGCGGCUGGAUCACCUCCUUUCUCGGAAUCAGGGAUCAGGAGUCAGAGGACAGAAGUCAGCAAUGGCUAACGUCCAACGACCCUGCCACUCCCAACCACGAUCCAAGUACCCACAACCUAUCGGUUGCACGCUAGAAGUGCAACGAGAGUGAAGACACCGGGCCUGUAGCUCAGUUGGUUAGAGCACCGUCUUGAUAAGGCGGGGGUCGAUGGUUCGAAUCCAUCCAGACCCACCAGUCAGGAGUCAGGAAUCAGAAGACAGAUGACAGAACGGUGGGUGAUUGAGGUCUUUCUGACUUCUGUCCUCUGACUUCUGACUCCUGAUUCGGGGCUGUAGCUCAAUUGGGAGAGCGCCUGCUUUGCAAGCAGGAGGUCGUCGGUUCGAUCCCGUCCAGCUCCACCAAUCAGAAGACAGGAUUCAGGAGUCAGAAGACAGACUGGAUCAGUGUUCUUCAACUAUCGGUUGCACAAACACAGCAUUCAGCAGUGGGCUUGGUAACGAGUCCAGUUCUGAAAGCUGUACGCGUUCUUUAAAAAUUUGGAAGGUAAGGGUGUAUCGAGCUUGAUGAGAGCUCGGUACGCAAAGGGUUGAGUUGUAUCUUUACAAGACUUGCGUGCUGGAAACAAAAGGCCGGUGCGUGAGUUUGGCGCGCGAACACAUCGUAACGGUGUGUCCUCAAUCAGCGAUGGUGUCGGAGGUGUUGCUGUCCUCUGUCUUCUGUCUUCUGAUUCCUGGAUCCACAGUUAUGGAGUCAAGCGACUAAGUGCAUGUGGUGGAUGCCUAGGCGAUUACAGGCGAUGAAGGACGUGGCAGCCUGCGAAAAGCUGCGGGGAGCUGGCAAACGAGCAUUGAUCCGCAGAUAU